rnacentral:tRNA from 1 species
AAGGUCCUAGCUUAAUUAAAGUAUUUGAGUUGCAUUCAGGUGAUGCAGGUUAGUAUCCUGCGGGCCUUA